rnacentral:tRNA from 1 species
GCCGCCUUAGCUCAGUCGUUAGAGCAACUGAUUUGUAGUCAGUAGGUCGUCCGUCCGAUUCGGACAAGCGGCACCA